rnacentral:rRNA from 1 species
AGCAGCCGCGGUAAUUCCAGCUCCAAUAGCGUAUAUUAAAGUUGUUGCAGUUAAAAAGCUCGUAGUUGAAUUUCGGGGUUAGUAGGUUGGUCAUGCCUCUGGUAUAUACUGGUCUCACUGAUUCCUCCUUCCUGAUGAGCCGUAAUGCCAUUAAUUUGGUGUUGCGGGGAAUCUGGACUGUUACUUUGAAAAAAUUAGAGUGUUUAAAGCAGGCUAACGCUUGAAUACAUUAGCAUGGAAUAAUGGAAUAGGACGUUCGAUCUUAUUUUGUUGGUUUCUUAGGAUUGACGUAAUGAUUAAUAGGGAUAGUUGGGGGCGAUUAGUAUUCAAUUGUCAGAGGUGAAAUUCUUGGAUUUAUUGAAGACUAACUACUGCGAAAGCAUUUGCCAAGGAUGUUUUCAUUAAUCAAGAACGAAAGUUAGGGGAUCGAAGACGAUCAGAUACCGUCGUAGUCUUAACCAUAAACUAUGCCGACUAGGAAUCAGACGAUGUUAAUUUUUAAUGACUCGUUUGGCACCUU